rnacentral:tRNA from 1 species
GGCGCUGGUCGGCCAGCACCACGCCUACCUGGUUGAUGGCCAGGAUCUUGAAGGCGUCGGCAGGGCAGUCCACGUUCAGUAUGUGGUAGCCCUC